rnacentral:lncRNA from 1 species
AAGAACUCUUCCUCUAUUAAGAAAAAAUAAAACACUAUCAUAUGGCACGUGGGAUAAGGGAAUGCAUGAGAAAUAAAGAGUCCAUAGCAUUAAGGACUCUUCCAAAUCAACCAAUGCAUAAAUGUGGCAUCCCAUUUAAUUUGACAUUCAAACUCCUUUUCAGAGAAGGACUCUUCCUUCUCUUCUACACCCACAAUCCCA